rnacentral:rRNA from 1 species
UACGGGGGGAGCAAGCGUUGUUCGGAUUUACUGGGCGUAAAGGGCGCGUAGGCGGCCAGCACAAGUCGGUUGUGAAAGCCCCGGGCUUAACUUGGGAAUUGCGCUCGAAACUACUUUGCUGGAGUGUGGCAGAGGAAGGUGGAAUUCCACGUGUAGCGGUGAAAUGCGUAGAGAUGUGGAGGAACACCAAUGGCGAAGGCAGCCUUCUGGGCCAACACUGACGCUCAUGCACGAAAGCGUGGGGAGCAAACAGG